CAAUGAUACAAUUUAAAGUAGUACAAAAACAGGUACAACAUUAACGUUGGGGUGUGGUUGGGAACAUGUACAGUUAGGUAACAUGGAUCGGUAUACACAGUCGCUUAUACAGUCAUUGCUCAUAUAGCCAGCCCAACAUCUGACCUGCCUUUGCUUACCAGGUGGUGGACAUAUGUAUGUGUCUUUAUGCUCUAUAGUAGUUCACACAUAUAGUUACUGAUAAUAAUUACAAGGGGCUAAUGGAUAUCCCUGCUGUUAUGGCUCUAUCUUGUAAUAUGCCGGUUGUACAGUUCUACCCAUGGGGACCAUGUUGUGUGAAACCUCUGUGCCAUUUUGGUAUCAGGUACGGCCAUUCUUUCAUAGAUGUAGAAUUGGUGUAUUUUGUCCCAUAAUUGGGUUUUGUUUGGACAAGUUGUGGAUUUCCAGUGGAGAGCCAGUAGGCUACGGGCUGCUAAGGUGAUAAUGGCACACAGCUGUUUGUGUGAGUUUCUGAAUGUCGGAGGGAACCUCAUGAGUAAGUAUGUUUCAGGUGUAUUUUGGGUAUCUGGGAUUUGGAGUGCACGGAACAUAUUGUGUACCUCUGUCCAUAAAGGCUGGAUGUUGGGGCACCUUCAACAGACAUGUAUAAGUGUACCCUCUUCUGCGGAACAUCUUCAACACAAUGGGGUUGAGUUUGGGUAUAUUUUGUGAAGCUUGUGUGGGGUUAGGUACCAUCUGUAUAGUAGCUUUCUAUGUGCUUCUAUAUGUGUAUAGCAUUUUGUCCAUUUAGAUAGGUCAUUUAGUACAUGUAUCCAUUCUUCGUCUGUGAGCUGAAUGGCACAGUCUAUUUCCCACAAUGUUUUGCAAUGCGGUGAUGUGUUAGGUGUAGUGUUUUCCCAGGCUUUAUAGCAUAGGGAAAUGGUUUUUGGUUUUGUGGGGUGUUUCCAACACCUUUCUAUUAUUGCCUUUGUUGGUGGGGACAUUUGGGUAGGGUUUGUUUGUUGGUUACUUACACAUGUGGUGAUAAUUGCCUUAAGUUGUAAGUGUGUGAAAAUAGCGUCAUUGGGAAGCUCCCAUUUGUGUUGUAUGUCGGGGAAUGGCAUCAUUCCUUGAGGUUGGAGCAGUUGGUGUAUGUGUGUUAUUCCUGCCAGCGACCAAUUCUGAAAGCGUAUGUCUGGUGAAAUAGCCCUUAAGGCUGUCAAUGGUGCCUCUGCAUGGAAUUUAUUCUUAUUCCCCACAUUUUCCAAAAAUGUCGUCCAGAAUUGGAUAGUAUGCUUUGUGGUGGGUUGAGGUCAGAUUUUAAUUACCUUAAUUUUCUCGGUGUCCACAAGUGUGCUAGUGCCGAGUUGUUGCUGAACUGAGCUUUCUCCAUGUCCACCCAUUGUAUGAUCCCUUCAGUGGUGUGUAGCAGUAUCCCCAUUGCUAAGGCUGAUGCUUUAUAAUACAGAUCUAUGUUGGGUAGCCCCACUCCGCCAUGUUUUGAGUGUUUAUAUAGUAUCGUACUUGCAAUGCGUGUUUUUUUGUGUUCCCAUAUGAACACGUUACAUAUGGUUUGUAGUGUUUUUAUGAGUGUUUUUGGGGCCUGUAGGGGGAGCAUUCUGAAUAUAUAUAUAGUAUUUUUGGUAAGAACACCAUCUUAUACGCAUUUAUUCUGCCUAACCAGGAGAUGUGUGAUUGUGACCAUUUGUGUAUUUCAUUUUUGCCUUGUUGUGGGAGUGGGAGAUAGUUUACUUUAAAUACUUCCGCUACAGAAGGUGCAAUUUUUACGCCAAGGUACGUAAGUGAGGAUGUCCUCCAAUCGAAUAGGUAUUUCUCUUUCAGUGUGGCUGCGGUGGAGGAGGGGAGUUUAAUGGGUAGUGCUUGUGUUUUGUCUUGGUUUAGGCGGUAGUGUAAUAUGUCCCUGAAUCUCGCCAAGGUCUCCAUCAGGGGGGUACUGAUUUUUGAGGGUUUUCUAGUGUUAUUAAGAUAUCAUCUGCGAAUAGUGCUAGUUUGUAUUCGUUACCUAAGAUUUUGAUGCCUUGUAUGCAGUGAUCAUUUCUUAUUUUUUGUGCUAGCGGUUCGAGGGACAAUAUGUAGAGUAGGGGAGACAGGGGACACCCCCGUUGUGUUCCGUUGGAUAUAUGGAAGGAGGUCGAGAGGAAGCCACCAUGGGCCACUUUGGCUGCUGGUGUCAUAUAUAGUGCCAUAACCCCUUUGAUAAAUUCGGCGGGGAAGCCGAAUUUUUGUAAUACUUUUUGCAUGUAAGCCCAAUUGAGUCGGUCGAAGGCCUUCUCUGCAUCAAGUGCUAGAAGGAGGCCUCCAGGUGACCCUUUCUCCAUUGUAGCAUGUAUGUUAAGAAUUUUUCAUGUGUUAUCGGAGCCCUGCCAUCCUCUGACAAACCCUGAUUGAUCGUUGUGUAUUAGUUCACUUAUUAUGGACGUGAGUCUGUUACUCAAUAUUUUCGCAUAUAGUUUGUCGUCACUAUUCAGAAGGGAGAUUGGUCUAAAGUUUUUGCAGGUGGUGGGUGGCUUGCCUGGUUUGGGUAAUGUCGAGAUGUGAGCUAACAGUAGUUCUGCUGGCAGGGCUCCUUUGUCAAGACUGUGUUGGUAUAGAUUUAGGAGGUGGGGGAGUAGUAGUUUGGAGAAGUCUUUAUAGGAGGCCAUCCGGUCCUGGGGAUUUGUUUGAUGGUUCGUUUAGUCUCCAGGUGGUUUGGCCAGUAGAGGGGCAUUGUUCAGAUAGGGUCAGUGUGAUAGGGGUAUGGUCUGAACAUGAUAUGAUACCAAUUUCUGCACUUAUCAUUCUCUCUAGUGAUGUGUUCUUUAUUAGAAAUCUGUCAAUCCUGGAGUAGCUAUUGUGUGCAGCGUUGUAGCAGGUGUAAUCUAUUUCAGCUAGGUGGGAUAUUCUCCAUGGAUCUACAUAGUUAUUUGUCGUUAGUGUUCUGCGCAUGUUAGAUGUUUGUGUGUGUCUCUGUUUUGAGGUAGCUGUGGUUACCGUUCUUGCGGCGGAGGAGUCCAUAUUGAUGUCUAGGAGAAAAUUAGUGUCGCCUCCAAGAAUUACCUCCCCAAAGCUGUACAUUGACAGGAGAGAGAAUACAUUAGUUAUAAAUACUUGUUGGUUUUCAUUAGGGCUAUAGACAUUUAUCAAUGUAUACGGUUGAUUGUUUAUGCGACAUUGUAAUAUAAGGUAUCUGCCUUUUUUGUCAUUUAUUUUGCGUAUGAAGUCAAAAACAUGUAUUAAUAUCGAUACACAUCUUUUUUUUUUUGUGGUAGCACGUGUGGUAGUCUACUGGGAACCAAGCAGAGUUAAACCUGGGUUUGGAUCCCCACUGAAAGUGAGUUUCCUGGAAAAAUGCCACAUGUGCUCCUUGUUUCUUGGCCUCUUGGAGAGCCAAUUUAUGCUUAUUAGGUGAAUUUAAGCCUUUGGUGUUCAGCGAGAGGAAUUUUAGCGGCAUGAUGCUAUUUUCCUUACUUGUUAUGGUUUGUACAACCGGCUAUAUCUGUUGGUGGGGUGGGAAGAGCACAGGUUUAUUGGGUUGUUACCUAAGCUGUGGGAAGGUGACCUGUUUGGUCACUCGUAGGGUAUUGGAGGGGAAAAAACGAUGUACAAUUGCCCGUUAGCCUCUUGGGCCUAAUGCAAGGUUUUGCAGAUGGGUAUGUGGUGGCCUACCUAGUAAGCCUUGCGUGGGGGUUGGUGGUUUUUCUAUGCGAGGUGUGAUAAACAAUGUCCACUUGUAUAUUAGGUGAAAAAAAAAAAAAAAGCAAGUAAAAAGUUAUAAGCAGCAGUUAUACAGUUAGCAGUGGCCUAGCGCCGACCAUGGGCUUAGCAUUUAUUUAUUUAUUUUUUUGCGUCAGAGAUAUACAUUAAAUCAACACAUUCUUAUGCACAUUUAACCUGUUAAACAUGAAGCCAGAUUAGUUAGUAAAGUUACGUGUCCUUGUGCGCAAUUGGAGAGGGCUUAGGGAUGAGGAUUUCUUCGACUUUGAGGGGUUGCCUUAUUCCAUAGGACUUGUUGCCAGUCUCUCGCCACUUUACGUGGUGGUGGCAUGUCCGAACUUUGUGGGUCAGUUGUUGGGAUAGGGACAUUCCAGUCUUCUAGAAUUUUUCUUCCUUCUUCCGGUGUUAGGAUUGCUCGGUCAAUUCCAUUUCUCUUGAUGAUUAGUUUGGUAGGGAAUCCCCACUUAUACAAUAUAUUGUCGUUUCGGAGAGCCAUUGUUAUAGGUGCGAAUGAUCUUCUUUUAAACAUGGUGGCCGCUGAUAAGUCUAUGAAUAAUUUAAUGUCUGUAUAUCCUUCAGGAAGGGGUGUAUUGAGUCUAGAAGCCUGCAUGAUUUGGUCUUUGACCGUGAAGUAGUGGAUUCUAGUGAUGACAUCUCGGGGAUAUCUCGGCUUGGGCAAUCUGUGUGAUCUGUCAAGUCGGAGAUCGGCCUCUGUUAAUGUUGGAAUUAUAGAUUUAAACAGCUUUUGUACAAAUUGUGGGAGGUCUUGUGGACCCACAUUUUCGGGUAUUCCACGGAUCCUGAUAUUGUUUCUUCUAUCUUGGUCCUCAUUAUCUGCAAUUUUCCCCUCCAAGUAUCUGACCUUGUUUUCCAGUGCUACAUGCGCCUCUGUGUGCUUCUAGUAAUACCUAGUAAUUUUUCUUCCAAGUGUGCUGUCCUGUCCCCCAAUGCCUGGAUUUUAGUGGAUUGGAGGGGUAUGGGCCUGCCGAUCGUUCUUGAGUCCCGGCUUCUGACAUACAUGCUGGCCGCAAGAUUCAUUCUUUUCACGCUAAGUUCCCUCUCAAACCUGGUCCUGCCCACCCAGUGAGUGGUCUUAACGUGGGGGAUACUGUCACGGUGCCGCGGGUUUCUGUCAGCGUGACCGCACUGAAAAAGAGCGGUCACGCCAACAGAAAUAACAAACACUCAUCUUACCUGUGGCAGAUUAAAACCCGACCUCCUUCCAUCUCAGUCCCCGCUGUGUGCGGAGUUAGCAGAGAUGCCUGCCGCUGCGGUUCUGUUUCUAAUAAAGAAAUAUCCUUUGCCCAUAUCAAAGAUAUGCAUGCACAUUUUGGGGUCAGAGGUCACAUUUAGCCAAUUACAGCUCUAGGAGGGUUAUUUAACCCCAAAUUACCAUUUGAUCAGUGCCCUGUCGUGGUUUCCCUUAGCUGGUUAUACGAGAGAGUGUUCCUUAUCUUUGUAUUUCUGGUAUUUGACUUUGGCUUCGUUUGACUCCCCUGAUUUCUGGUAUCCUUGACUUUUGUCUUUCCCUCAUCGUGUUUCAUUCUGUAUCCCUGACCUCGGUAAGUAUUUUGACUAUUCUUGGUUACAUUCAGUCCGGCCAUUCUAAGGUCCGUUUAUAUAUUAUCCUUAGUCCUAGGUUUGAUACUAUUUCUGCGUGCUAGAUCAACAGUAAUCCUAAGAGUGAGCACUUCUCCUUUGCUGAGAUAAUCCAUCUAUCUCACAGGUGUGGCAUAUUAAGAUGCUGAUUAGACAGAAUUAAUAUUGCACAGAAUAUUGCCACUCUAAAAUGUGCAGUUUUACUGUAUUCGAGGAAAUCAGGGAGGGGGGUCGAAAACCAGUCAGUAUCUUUUGUGACCACAAUUUGCCUCACGCAGUGCAACACAUCUCCUUCGAAUAGAGUUGAUCAGGUUGUUGACUGUGGCCUGGAAUGUUGGUCCACUCCUCUUUAAUGACUGUGCGAAGUUGCUGGACAUUGGCAGGACCUGGAACACUCUGUCGUAUAUGCCGAUCCAGAGCAUCUCAAACAAGCUCAAUGGGUGACAUGUCCAUGAGUAUUCUGGCCAUGCAAGAACUGGGAUGCUUUCAUCUUCCAGGAAUUGUGUACAGAUCCUUGCAACAUGGGGCCGUGUAUUAUCAUGCUGCAACAUGAGGUGAUGGUUGUGGAUAAAUGGCACAACAGUGGGCCUCAGGAUCUCCUCAAGUUACCUCAAAAUGCCAUCAAUAAAAUGCUACAAAGAAAAAAGGAAAGGUAGCGGCACUAAAAACCAAAUAAGUUAAAUAAAAGCAUAAAACAGGCAAAAUAAACAACAAAAUAUAAAGUAGGGAGUAAAGAACUUAAAAGUCCAGGGUAAAUAGUCUGAAUGGUAGAUGAA